CAGAGCUGGAUUAGAACCCCGGUCCUUCUGACUCCCAGGACCGUGCCUUUAUCUACUUGGCCACGCUGCUUUUCUGCAAUUUCUGCCAUACUGCCUCCAUUCACCUGUUUGGGUUUGGGAUUUGGUGAGGGGGGGUGGUUUGUUGUUGUGUCUUUUUUUUCCCUCCAUUCCAGCUGAAGGCCUCUCCUCAGCCUCUUACCUCCCAUCCCUUUUCCAGGCCUCAGCUAUAUCCUGCUUAUCAGGUAAAGUAUCUGCCAACAGCUUCCAUUCCAGCCCUUUUUUUCUGGUUAAAUAUAUUUGGAAAAACCGAGAAUGACCCAGAUCUAUAUUUUCCUAAGCGAGAAAAGAACCUUCUGAAUAUUCCAGGCUCUACAACUUUUCAUGCUGUACUCAACCAACCAAGUAAAUGCUCUGUGGGUCUGGCUAGCUCCUGUAGUCUUUAGGUCCCCGAGGGCAGGGUUCACGUCGACUAAUUCUCUCCCAAGUGUUUAGUAAAAUGCUUUGCCCACUGUAGGCACUCGGUAAACACCAUUGAUUGAUAGAUUGGAAGCUUCCCUAACUUCCUACUUAAAAGAUUAUUGACCAUGUAUUUUGGUUGUUGUGGCUGUUGUCUCUCUGUGGGAAAGUUUAUCUUCAGUGUUUUGGGAUAGAGGCACUCAUGUUAUCACUCAAAAAUGGUUUCAUUUGAUUCCCUCUGACCAUGUGUUUGGAAAUAACAAGGGCCUGUCUUUGUAGAAGGGAAAUGUGUCAAGAUAAGGUCUCGAAAGGGAAAGAGGCAAAGAAAGCCAGAACCCUAUGGAGAGUGAUGGGACAGCUGAAAUCAAUCAAUCCAUCAGUGGUUUUUGAGCACUUACUGUGUGCAAAGCACUGUCCUAAAUGCUUCAGAGUAUACAGUAGUGGUGGUAAACACCAUCCCUACCCUCAAGAAGUUUCGAGUCUAGCAGAAGAGCUCCAACCAGGAGCUAGCUCUAAGUCAGGCUACAAGAAAGAGAAAACUAACCUGACAUUUGGUCUCUCUGCCUGUUUGGGGGAAAAUGUGAGUUCAGCUUCUUUUCUCCCAAGCACCCUGAUCCUCUUGUGUGAAGAGCAGAACCCCCGUGCAGGGUUUUAGGAUGUCAAUGCGAUGAAAUGAAUGAACACCACCAUACUUGCUCUAAACAGAAAACCAGAAAAUGCUCACGUAAAGAAUGCUGAAUAAUUUGGCCCUUGUUUUAAUUGACUGUAGGCACUUCUUUGGAAAUGUCUGAAGUGUAGUUUGUGAAACAUGUUCCAAAAGUGUUUGAUGUAAAAUAAGCUCUAGCCAUUUACAGUGCAGAAUAGUCAAAAAGCUGUAGAUUACAACUCUGUUCCUAAGAGCCUCAGCCUUUGUGUCUUAGUAAAGUUGAUCUGUUUUUUUUUAUUUGACAUUUCUGGUGAAAUAGCCUCGAGAUAAAAUUAUUAAUACAUAUGUGCUGGUUAAUACCUGUUAAUUCAGAACAUGGCACUUUGUUAUUUCGGUGUGUUCCACUCAACAUCACAGGGUAUAUCAAUUUGGUAGGAAAGAUUAAAAAAAAACAAAAAAUCAACAGAUCAAAAGUAUAGAUUUCCUCAAUAGAAAAACAUAUAGUGCUUAGUCAAAAAUCCCUUAAAUUAUCCUCCCAAGUAAUACUUUUCUGUUAAGAAUCAAGAUGAUGGUUGUGGUUGAGCUGUUGCAAUUUGGUUCAUUUGCAAGUGUUGAUGGAAUUUUUUGAGCUAAAUGUAAUGUUCUCAAAAAAAAUCCUAAACUCUUGUAAAGUUGUCCUUCAGCCUAAUCUAAACCAUUCGUGUUUUAGCCAUGAUCUCCCACUGGGGAUGUUUUGUCUUCUCAGCUAUAUGCAGAUGACGACAACCAUGAUUAGUACAUGAUGCCAUUUCUUGGGGAAAAAUACUGUGUACUUGAAAAAAAAAAGUGUUUCCCAAUAUAAUUGGGUACAGUCUUCACUUGAUUUUCUUACUUCUGUAGUUUGCACAGUCUUGGGGCAGUUUGAUGAAUGCUGUGCCCAAAAGCUGCUUGCUUACAAUAGGUGAAAGGGAAGAUCAUUGAUCCUAAAAUGAAAAAUCAUCUACAGGACAGGUAUUUUAUACUAGACCUCAUUACGUUACUCAUUUCCUAGAUUGAUUUCUCUUGUGUAUAAAUUGUGACAUCAAAGAUGCCAAAGGGUAAAUAAAAUAAGCUACAAUGAUAUUCAACAGAACUUAACCUGGACCUUAUGUUGUAAUAAUUUAUUCAUAUUAGCCGUAGUCUUCUGUAUUUAUAUUUUCAGUAUUUAUUAUGAAUGAAAUGGAAAUUGAUGUAUCUAUUGUGGCUUUAUUAUUGCAGUGUAUAUACUAUAAAUGAGCAUUUUUAAGUCUUAAUUUUAUGUUUCUUUUGUUAGUGGCACUCGUAUUAUGCUGUACUUUUUAUUCUAUAUUGUACACGAUUGUCCAUUUGUUUGCAGCCAAGUAAAACAGGUUUCUACGUUAUAACAGCUAUGGCAUUUUGCACUGUGCAUCCUUUGGACCAGUUUAUAAUACUUAGUGUUUAAACUCUUCUCUGAUGGUUUAUACUGGCUGGUGUUUCAGGUGGCGCUCGAUUUCUGGGUAGAAGGGGAUCUUUCUCCCUUUUAAAAGUACUCUGAUUUGUUCAGGGCGGAAGACUGUGGUUCUGUUCACAGCACCCAUCCUUGUAAUGCUUUCCCCCUGUAUUGUAAAGGCUGCCUUAUGUGCUCAACCCCUUUGGCUUUCCCACAAAGACUGUUCCUCUUGAUGGUCUGGGUCUUAUUUGGCCCUGAGAGCACCACUGUACCCCACUCGUGCCAGGCUCGCUACCUGCCCCUGGCAGACGCUGAAUGUUUGUUUUGGGCUCAGGCCUCCACUGGCCGAGUGAAGCAGAGAAGCCAGGCACUGAUCAAAGAUUUUCCACUCACGUGAAAAAACAUUUUCCUCCACGCGAAUCACUUAGAGAAUUGUAACCCAAAUGGGUCUUUUACUCCGGGCGAUCCAGAUCUUUGCUCAGCUUCUAGGUUUCACUUGCCUGAGAAGACCUGACAAUCCAGACAGUUAAAAAUGGUUUUCGGUACCUGUGAUGGCCAAGCUGAAAGUAGAUGGAGACCUGAAGGACAUCAAGGAUGCCUCGACGGCUCACCUCUGGCACAAGCUCCAAACGGAGGAACCCCCCGGCCCUUUCAGUUGGGGAAAAGAAGCAGAGCCCUCACUGGGACAGGACGGAAGAGGUGAGAAAGGACAUCAAACACGCUUGGCUCAAAUCCUGCAGACGACUUUCCUGUGAUGAGCAGAAUUGCAGUCACAAAACAGCGCUCAGGGUUUGCUCAACUGCAGUUAUAUCUGAGUAUGUAUAUGAAGUCCAAAUACCUCCCUUAUCCACAGGCCCUUGGAUGAAAAUUGGACUCCCUUUCAGAAGCUCCUGUGGGUUUUGCUCAGCUGAGGGGAAGGUCUUCUCUUGAGGAUGUACCUAAUCCUGCUCCGACCACAGUUGCUGGCCUCUACCCUCCAUGUGCCUUCACCACCGUCUUCCACUUCCUCUCCACAACCCAGCAGUACUGGUCUUCCCCAAUUUUAGCUGCUGAACUAAUUUAAUCAAAAAUCCCCUAUGAAAUAUUUAUGGUACAUGGUCUGUACCAAGCAUGGUGUUAAAAAGGUACAUAAGAUCAGGGCCCAGUGGGCUGGUUUCUAAUUAAUCCAAAGCACACUGUGGCUCGUUACGCCCAAACUGCUUGAGUGAGUGUGCCAGCGAAAUGUGAGAAAUCACCCGGUAGCUCUCUUGUUUCAGAGACCUGCUGGGUGUAUGGGGUACAGUCCCAUAACUGGUUAGUUGGGCUCUUAAGUGGGGAAGGAAUGCUGUCAAGCUCCAUGUGAGCAGGGAAUGUGUCUGGCUGCUUAGUAACCGUGCUUUGCACAUCGUAAGCGCUCAACAAAGAGGACUGAAACCCCUUCCCCCUGGACCCUUUGCACAGCUACAGGAGAUGACUGGGGCAGAGAAAUGAAAUGUUCACAUCAAUACUCUAGGCUGCAGUUUUGCUAUGCAAAUUAGACCAAGUUUACCCUAGCUAAAAUACUGGAAUAGGAAUCUUCUCUAGGUAACAGUGCUUGUCCUAAAAUAGAGACGAUUCUACAGAAUUAAGUAGAUUAGCAUUCGUUUGCAUGUUUUCUUGGUCAAGCUUUAACACAGCUAAAUGUAGUUGACAGCAAAUAGCACUCCUGUUCCCAAACUGGGAGACAGCACGGGUUACAGGAGAUGGGGACUUCUAGCCCGCUAAGUGAUUCACCGCAAGGUACUUACCAGUUCUCUGCCUCAGUUUCUCCAACUGUAAAUUAAAGAAAAUGCUAAAUAGGAUAUUUUGAGGCCCAAAACCACAGUCGAUAUGAAAAUGCUUUUGGAAAUUAAUGUUAAAAUGUUUAGGUAGCUGCUUCAGUGGGAUUCCCUGACCAACAGAAGCUCCCAGGGAACCUCCAGACACAUGGUUUGCUCAUCCCCCAAAAGACCCAGUGAAAUGUAUCAUCUUGCUCUGCUCGCUAGUCAUAAUCUUCCUCUACCCCUCAUCCAAGCCCAUGUUUUCCUUUUCUGUUUUUUAGAAUGUCCACCCUCAGCUUAGGAGUGCACUGGGGGUGCAACAGACACCUAACUGCACAAAGUCUGUCCUCACUAAUUGAUGUAGACUACAAUAGUAGAAAUCUCACAAAGAAUAGAUAUGAGGGGAAAAAAGAACUACACCAUUUUAAAGAAGUAUCUUUUGAAAAACCCAGUUUUUACUUCUUAAGGGCAAAGAUUCAGAGCAGAACUACUGUAGAAAAUUCCCUCCUUCAAACACCAUAAAAUUAGCAGUUACUGAAUUGCACUGGGUGGUCUCUAUAUUGCCCAUAGGUCCUCGAUUUGAAAAAUUAUAUACAAUUUAAGAACACCAAACUACCAAGUCCUUUACCGAUCAAUAAUUUUCAAGGUAAUUCCUCACUGCUAAGAUGGUUACGUGCCUAUUAAAACAGAGAGGCGGGACCCUUAAUUUGGCUAGGCUUGUUGGGGGGGGGGGUGGGUAGCUUUGCAUGAGACUGUCAGCAGACCCAAAGAGACCCUCCAGCAUAAGUCUUCCUUAAAGUAAGGCUCAGUGACAAAUCAACUGCCACAUUAUCCAAGUGGCUGUCCCUUAGCCUCCUCCACCAUUAGACCGUAAUCUACCAUCCAUCGCCGAGUACAAUUCCAAUGAAAUAUGACUGUCUAAAACGUACGCACCUCUAGAUUGUCCCUUUUUCUAAUGAAAUGGUCAAAGAGGAAAAAAAAUAGAUCACUGCAAUUGAGGAAGGGGACAUUUUCACAGUUAAAGGAAAUUCGGUACAAAAGACUUGGUCUCCUACAGUUCCAAGCAAAAUCCACUUCUUCCCACCUCCAAACUCUGUGUGAGUUAGAACAAUAAGUGUAAAUAUACCAUAGUGUACAAUUCUGGAUUCCUAAAAGGAGAAAUUAAUUCUGCAAGAGAAGGUCAAUAUCAAAACAGAAAUGUUAAAUGCUGAGAUGCUUUAAAUCUGAAGGGAAAAAAAAGGAUAAUCUUGCAAAUAAGAGUUCUUUAUUUUCCAAGUUCUCCCAUCAGGUAGAGAAAGAUAAAGUUUUGGGGCAGCAAUGGGCAAACAAGUUUCAGAACAUUCAUAAUUUAAGAACCAGUGACGGAUGAAAUUUAGCUCCAUGUUUUGUAUUUGACUUUAACCUCCUUUAACUUUUAACAAGGUUCAUGAAUUUUAGUUAAAAAAAAAAAAAAAGAUGCCCUUACCAUUGGAAACCACCUGUCUGGAAAAUGUUUUUGAAAAUUUACAAAAUGUUGCUGAAGGAAAACACUAAGUGAAUACCAAGUAAAUUAAGGAAGACCUAAGUGCUUGAAAUAGAAUGGAAUUUGAGCUGAAAAAUGCCAUUUAAUUCUAAAGUUUUACAGUAUUCUGAAAUAAGAAUGUUCCUUAAAUGGUUUCCUCCUCCCUUUGAGGUUGAAGAAAAACUUGGCGGAAUACAACAGAGAGAACCACUUGGAUUUGUAUUAAAAAAUAGAAAUCCUAGACCUUAAGUCUUCCUGGUUUGCCCACCACAUACAUAAAGCACGAGCUGACCGUCACUGAUCAAAAAAAUCUUCUAAAUCAUUAAAAAAAUACAGUGUAUCAAAUCUAUUCUACCCCUCCCCAGACUAGGGGAAAAUAUAAUAUCUGUAAGAAUAUGUGUGCAUAUCUACAUCUCGCUGCCUAAGGCUACGCAAACACCGCCUUAUUCUGGAAAUUACCUUUCAGCGUACUGUAAACAUUUCUUCCCCUAAACCCGGACACCUCAAAUUCUUUGGUAUGACUAGUCAUUGUGCUUUGAAACAGAACCUUAAGGAAUGUCGGUCACAGUGCUGUCUGCACAUUCAUACAUAUC